rnacentral:rRNA from 1 species
AUUGACCGCUGGCGGCAGGCCUAACACAUGCACGUCGAACGAGUGGCGGACGGGUGAGUAAUGUCUGGGAAACUGCCCGAUGGAGGGGGAUAACUACUGGAAACGGUAGCUAAUACCGCAUACCAUCGGAUGUGCCCAGAUGGGAUUAGCUAGUAGGUGGGGUAACGGCGCACCUAGGCGACGAUCCCUAGCUGGUCUUAGAGGAUGACCAGCCACACUGGAACUGAGACACGGUCCAGACUCCUACGGUAGGCAGCAGGGGGGAAUAUUGCACAAUGGGCGCAAGCCUGAUGCAGCCAUGCCGCGUGUAUGAAGAAGGCCUUCGGGGUGUAAAGUACUUUCAGCGAGGAGGCGUUACUCGCAGAAGAAGCACCGUCUAACUCCGUGCCAGCAGCCGCGGUAAUAC